GGCCUGCUCGGACAGGCAGCCAGCCUCUCGUUCGCAUCGAGGGGGUCAGGGGUUCAAAUCCCCUCAGCUCCA
rnacentral:tRNA from 1 species